GGAGCUGUGCCUGAACGCUUUAGGGCUACUUUGAUAGAGUAAAUUAAGGGGGUUGGACUCCCCCCGGCUCCU
rnacentral:tRNA from 1 species